UUUCCGCUGAUAACUCGUGAACGGUGCGUCGGAGAAAAUUUUCGGGACACCCUGUAUAGAGCAACUGUCGAGAGUUUUACUCUCGGAUGGACACCCGCGUUUAACAACACUCGCGGACGAAUCGCGACCGUUUCGCGUUUCCGCGUCGCUCUACCUAAUUUUAAAGCCUCGACGGACCGCUGUAUUUACCUUGAAACCGAGAAAUACCGCGCGAGCAUCGUUCAAUCGUGGACACGUAUAUUUUUCUAUCGAUUCCGUUUUAUACGUCUUGACUGAUUUUAGAGUAUAAAUCACGUUUAUCGGUGCUCGAUUACCGCGAAGAAGUGUACUACCUACCCUGUCCGCGCGACGCCAAAUGUCCCGUUGCAUUAUUCUUUCGCGCGUUCUUUCGAACGGUUCACACGAAUUUUCCGUGGAAACAGCCGUCCAAAACCGACGCGUCGAACGUGUGACGUCAGAGAAUUACGACGCGCGCUGUAAACUCGUAAUUGGACACUGCGCGUCGAUUUUACGCGCCGAUUUGGUUACGUCCGUUCGAAGAAUGAAACCACGGAAGAACGUACGUCCCUGAUAUUUACACUACGUCGUACCAGUUACACGGAAGGGAAACGGCAAGCGUCGAGGAGGCGAAGGAAGGAUCACGGUCCUCGUUGACCAGGAGAAAAAUAAAUUACGCGACGAUAAAGGCUCGUUCGCAGGCUGGUCGUAGAGCGGCUGCUGCGUCGGAGGGCACGCGUGUCGCCGAGCACAAGACCCCCCUCCUUCUCCUCCCCACCACCACCGGUCUCUGCGUACAGCCUCAGGACGCCUCAUAAACGUUUCUCGCAGUAUCGCAUAAAAGCUCCGGUAAAACGGCUCUCCACGUCCGAUCGGUCUAACGGCCGGCUUAAGUGAUUGCUUCUCUUCAUUAGAGGCCGGGCUCGUUCCGUUCGAACUGAUCCUUUUCCAGGCGGGGAAGGGGAGGGCAAAACUUGAGGGACAGGUGCGGUAAUGGUCCGUAUCCGAGGCGAGCCUCCCGUGUCCCGGCUCCUCGAAGGGGCUGCGGAGAGGCAGUUGCAGUCGAUUUAACCCCUGCCCUCUUCCCACCACCCUCGAGACCGGCCCUCGAGACUAUUACGCGAAUUGAUUCGGCAUCGGAUCUGCCCGGGGGCGGAAACACCGUUUAGCUCCUCGUUUCUUCGACUCCGAACUGCCCUGCCUCUCUAUUCCUCCCAGUUUGCUCCUCGUUUAUGCGAUGCUGUCCGCUUCGCUGUCCCGCUUUGGGACAAUCCUUCCGCCCCCCGCAAAUU